rnacentral:rRNA from 1 species
GUCCACGCUGUAAACGAUGAGAACUAGGUGUCGUGGGUGUUGACCCCUGCGGUGCCGUAGCUAACGCAUUAAGUUCUCCGCCUGGGAAGUACGGCCGCAAGGCUAAAACUCAAAGGAAUUGACGGGGGCCCGCACAAGCGGUGGAGCAUGUGGUUUAAUUCGACGCAACGCGCAGAACCUUACCCAGACUUGACAUCUACCGAACCCGGCCCAAAAGUUGGGGUGUCCGCAAGGAAACGGUAGACAGGUGCUGCAUGGCUGUCGU